CUGAAAUACUGCUGGAAGGGUUAAGAAGAAGCUACAGCAUUUGUGAUUCUUCUAGUAUUUAGUGUAACAGCUCUCAGGACAAGGUUUCUGUGGAUGCAUCUGGCUGUCCUAGUGAGCGACCCUGCUGGUUCUCCAUUCUGCAUCCGUGCAGCCACGUUCUAUUGAUGGCCUGUUGUGAUUUCAAUGGAACAUCAUGGGAUGUACCUGGCACGUCGGGCAGCACUGGAUGGAGGUGCCUUUAGCCCAAUGUACCUGGCAUGUACUGUUAACUCACUGUUCAGGUGCUUGGUGUCUAGCCUUCUCAUCCAGCUACAAAUCCUCUACGUGAAAUGAGUGAUUCCUUAGAUCUGUUUAUGAUUGAUUCUUUGCUUCACUGGUGUUGCUUCUUAAAAGGUAAACAAUAUUCAUGUGCUGCGAUCUAUAACUCAGAGAUGAAAUCAAACAGCAUCUCC
rnacentral:lncRNA from 1 species